rnacentral:rRNA from 1 species
ACUGCUAUCGGGAUAAGGCUAAGCCAUGGGAGCCGAACGCCCUAUCACUAUAGGGCGUGACGCACGGCUGAGUAACACGUGGCUAACCUGCCCUAGGGACUGGGAUAACUCCGGGAAACUGGAGCUAAACCCGGAUAGGUGAGGAGUCCUGGAAUGGUUCCUCGCCCAAAGAGAUCUCAAGGGGUUAAUGCUUGAGAUCUGCCCUAGGAUGGGGCUACGUCCCAUCAUGGUUGUUGGCGGGGUAAUGGCCCGCCAAGCCAACGACGGGUAGGGGCCCUGAGAGGGGGAGCCCCCAGAUGGAUCCUGAGACACGAAUCCAGGCCCUACGGGGCGCACCAGGCGCGAAACCUCUGCAAUGUGGGAAACCGUGACAGGGUUAUCCCGAGUGCUCCCGUUAAGGGAGCUUUUCCUCGCUGUAAGGAGGCGAGGGAAUAAGCGGGGGGCAAGACUGGUGUCAGCCGCCGCGGUAAUACCAGCCCCGCGAGUGGUCGGGACGAUUACUGGGCCUAAAGCGCCCGUAGCCGGUCUGAUAAGUCCUCUCUGAAAGCUCCGGGCUCAACCCGGAGAGCGGAGGAGGAUACUUUCAGGCUAGGGGGCGGGAAAGGCCCGGGGGUACUCCUAGGGUAGGGGUAAAAUCCCGCYGAUCCGCGGAAGACCAACAGUGGCGAAGGCGCCCGGCCAGAACGCGCCCGACGGUGAGGGACGAAAGCCAGGGGAGCGAACCGGAUUAGAUACCCGGGUAGUCCUGGCCGUAAACGAUGCCCGCUAGGUCUUGGCGAAGCUUAGGGCUUCGCCAGGGCCGCAGGGAAGCCGUUAAGCGGGCCACCUGGGGAGUACGGCCGCAAGGCUGAAACUUAAAGGAAUUGGCGGGGGGGCACCACAAGGGGUGAAGCUUGCGGCUUAAUUGGAGUCAACGCCGGAAACCUUACCCAGGGCGACAGCAAGAUGAUGGCCAGGCUAACGACCUUGCCUGAUGAGCUGAGAGGAGGUGCAUGGCCGUCGCCAGCUCGUGCUGCGAAGUGUCCGGUUAAGUCCGGCAACGAGCGAGACCCCCACUUCUAGUUGCUACCCGGUUCUUCGGAAUCGGGGGCACACUAGAGGGACUGCCGGCGUAAGCCGGAGGAAGGAGGGGGCCACGGCAGGUCAGUAUGCCCCGAAACCCUGGGGCCGCACGCGAGCUGCAAUGGCUGGAACAGCGGGAUUCGACCCCGAGAGGGGAAGAUAAUCUCUAAACCCGUUUUUAGUCCGGAUUGAGGGCUGUAACUCGCCCUCAUGAAGAUGGAUUCCGUAGUAAUCGCGGAUCAACAGUCCGCGGUGAAUAUGCCCCUGCUCCU